UUCAUCUUCAAAUGCACAACAAAGUGGAAUUCUAAUUUAAACUUUAAACUGCAAUACUUAAAAACAAUGCACUGGUGACUGGACUGCAAUAGUUUAAAACAAUCCACUGGACUGCAGCUCCUAGCAUUCAUCUCCAGGUCAAUUUUCUAACACCCUGCAAAAGCAAUACAGAGUUACAGAGCAUAUAAAACAAUGCACAUAAUUAUAUUAACUAAUUAACUAAUUUAGUAAUAUGUGAACUAACAUUACAGCAACAUAAAUUAAGCAAGCUACCCUGUAUACUCAUAACUCAUAAGAAGUAGCCAGAAUGCUAGAUAUUGAACAAGUAACAGAGCAUCCAAGUAAAAAAUGACAAAAAAAAACUUAAAGGAUAUAACCACAUCAUAAACUUAC
rnacentral:lncRNA from 1 species